rnacentral:lncRNA from 1 species
GCUCUGUACUGAAGACUGAACAACUGUAAAUAGAUUUAAAAGGUACUCGAUCCAGGUAUCAAUUUAAGAAAUGAAGCUAUGUAGGCAGUGAAUGAUGGGAAACGAGCGGUUCCUGCAGCUUCACGGUUGAACCAUAGUUCAGCUGAGCUGUGGUUACAAGUGGAGCAGUCAGCCUUUCUUAGCUGCUUAAUUAUGUCCUCUUUUCUCUGUAUUAUCCCCUUUCCAGGCUUGACUCUGGCACACUCCUUCCCACAAAUUAUUUAGCCUCCAGAUACAAAUGAAUAGUGUAAUAAUGAAUAGGGAUCAUUGCAGAGAGUGGUAUUUCCUGACCUUAUAAUUUGGGAAUUUUGCAUAUGAUAUUAAGAUUCAGAGUGUAGGUUUAAAAGGUAAAUCCCUUAGUC